rnacentral:rRNA from 1 species
UACGUAGGGGGCGAGCGUUAUCCGGAAUUACUGGGCGUAAAGGGUGCGCAGGCGGCCAUUUAAGUCAGAUGUGAAAGGCUACGGCUUAACCGUAGUUAGCAUUUGAAACUAGAAGGCUUGAGUGCAGUAGAGGAGAGUGGAAUUCCUAGUGUAGCGGUGAAAUGCGUAGAUAUUAGGAGGAACACCAGUGGCGAAGGCGACUCUCUGGACUGCAACUGACGCUGAGGCACGAAAGCGUGGGUAGCGAACAGGAUUAGAUACCCUGGUAGUCCACGCCGUAAACGAUGAGUGCUAGGUGUUGGAGGAGACAUCCUUCAGUGCCGGAGCUAACGCAUUAAGCACUCCGCCUGGGGAGUACGUACGCAAGUAUGAA